rnacentral:rRNA from 1 species
AGCGAACGCUGGCGGCAGGCCUAACACACGCAAGUCGAACGAAGUCUUCGGACUUAGUGGCGGACGGGUGAGUAACACGUGGGAACGUGCCUUUAGGUUCGGAAUAACUCAGGGAAACUCGUGCUAAUACCGAAUGUGCCCUUCGGGGGAAAGAUUUAUCGCCUUUAGAGCGGCCCGCGUCUGAUUAGCUAGUUGGUGAGGUAAAGGCUCACCAAGGCUACGAUCAGUAGCUGGUCUGAGAGGAUGACCAGCCACAUUGGGACUGAGACACGGCCCAAACUCCUACGGGAGGCAGCAGUGGGGAAUCUUGCGCGAUGGGCGAAAGCCUGACGCAGCCAUGCCGCGUGGAUGAUGAAGGUCUUAGGAUUGUAAAAUCCUUUCACCGGUGAAGAUAAUGACUGUAGCCGGAGAAGAAGCCCCGGCUAACUUCGUGCCAGCCGCCGCCGUAAAAC